GGCUCAGGAUGAACGCUAGCGGGAGGCUUAACACAUGCAAGUCGAGGGGCAGCACGAGGUAGCAAUACUUUGGUGGCGACCGGCGCACGGGUGAGUAACACGUAUGCAACCUACCCUGUACAGGGGGAUAGCCCGGAGAAAUUCGGAUUAAUACCCCAUAAAGAUAUUUUGAGGCAUCUUGAGAUAUUUAAAGUUUAGGCGGUACGGGAUGGGCAUGCGCAACAUUAGCUAGUUGGUAGGGUAACGGCCUACCAAGGCGACGAUGUUUAGGGGACCUGAGAGGGUGAUCCCCCACACUGGUACUGAGACACGGACCAGACUCCUACGGGAGGCAGCAGUGAGGAAUAUUGGUCAAUGGGCGAGAGCCUGAACCAGCCAUCCCGCGUGAAGGAAGACUGCCCUAUGGGUUGCAAACUUCUUUUCCAGGGGAAUAAAAUGGACUACGCGUAGUUCACUGAAGGUACCCUGGGAAUAAGCAUCGGCUAACUCCGUGCCAGCAGCCGCGGUAAUACGGAGGAUGCGAGCGUUAUCCGGAUUUAUUGGGUUUAAAGGGUGCGUAGGCGGAUUAAUAAGUCAGUGGUGAAACCCUGCAGCUUAACUGUAGACUUGCCAUUGAUACUGUUAGUCUUGAGUACGGUCAAGGUAGGCGGAAUGUGUAAUGUAGCGGUGAAAUGCUUAGAUAUUACACAGAACACCGAUUGCGAAGGCAGCUUACUGGGCCGCAACUGACGCUGAUGCACGAAAGCGUGGGGAGCGAACAGGAUUAGAUACCCUGGUAGUCCACGCCGUAAACGAUGAUCACUCGCUGUUGGCGAUACACAGUCAGCGGCUAAGCAAAAGCAUUAAGUGA
rnacentral:rRNA from 1 species